AAGACAGUCAAGUCUUUUCCUGAUUGUUUCAUUUUAGCCCCCAAUACUUUCUCUCUUUGUCUCUCGACGCAGUCACCGUCACCGUCACCAUUUCCGAUUCUACAGAGCAACAGUGGACUACAGAGUCUUCUUCAGUCCAAACCAAACUCUGCAAUCAGUCAAUCUCCAUUAAUGCUCUAGUCAAACCUCACAGCCCGAAGGGGCUGUAAUUCGAAGAAGAAAUUAAGAGUCAUUUAAUUUAACCCUAGGAAUCAAUAUCAGCUAAGUUUCCGAAGAUGGUAUUCAAAGGUAGAUUUUUCUCAUCGAAGAAAUCCGACCCAUCAAGCCCAGAUGGAUCCUCCAACAGUCCACGAUCUAUUGGGUCCAAUUCCCCGAUCCGAUCCGACAAGAAGAAAGCAAAGUCAGGUUCUACUUCCAAAGACAACUCUCCGAUCACUCCAUCUUCAAUUUCAACUUUCAAAGAUAAGAAUAAAGAUGAUAAAGGUAAAGAAAGUCCGAGUCCCAAUUCGGCUAAGAAUCCGGUGAGAACCCGUGAACCGGAACUGAGGCCGACCUCUGUAUCAGUGUCUCCGAUAGUAGCAUCAUCAUUGGGGUUAAAUAAGAUAAAGACUCGAUCUGGGCCCUUGCCACAAGAGAGCUUUUUUGGGUAUGCCAGCAGAGAUAAGGUGAAUUCAUUAGGUGCUAGCAAUUUAUCAAAGAAUGUAGCAGGCGGACGGGGCGGUGGUGAAGGGCUGUCGAGUUCUGUUUUGAGGAAGAAGGAUGAGAAGAGGUCACUGGUGGUGGGUUCCGCGGAAAAUGUAGAUAACCGGAGCAAUUCAGAUAGUAUGUCCUCCGAGAGCGGUCGUUCGAGGGAUCAAAGCCCACGUGUACCUGGACCAUCAAGGCUGCAGAAUGGUGAAUCAUCUUCUGAAGCAGGCCGAGUCAGUUCAUCUUGGGGCUACUCUGGAGGUCUGAGGAGCUCAGAUGCUUGUACUCCAGAAUUGAAGACAUCUUUAGAAUGCGACAACCCAAAGGAGUCUGAAUCUCCGCGCUUUCAAGCUUUACUCCGGGUGACUAGUGCUCCAAGGAAACGGUUUCCUGCAGAUAUAAAAAGUUUUUCGCAUGAACUGAACUCCAAAGGUGUACGGCCUUUUCCAUUCUGGAAACCUCGAGGUUUGAAUAAUUUGGAGGAGGUUUUAACGAUGAUUAGAGCAAAGUUUGACAAAGCAAAGGAGGAAGUGGAUAAUGAUUUGCGUGUUUUCGCAGCAGAUCUGGUUGGGGUUCUAGAAAAAAAUGCAGAAACUCAUCCAGAUUGGCAGGAAACAAUUGAAGAUCUGCUGGUUUUGGCUCGAAGAUGUGCAAUGACAUCUCCUGGGGAAUUUUGGCUUCAGUGUGAGGGCAUCGUUCAGGAACUGGAUGAUAGACGGCAGGAACUCCCCAUGGGUACACUAAAGCAGCUGCACACUAGAAUGCUUUUUAUACUUACAAGGUGCACACGUUUGCUUCAGUUUCACAAAGAAAGUGGAUUUGCUGAGGAUGAACCUCUGUUUCAGCUUCGUCAAUCAUUGCAGCCCGUUGAAAGACGGAGAGAUGGAAAGAUGUCUGGUCCUCUGAAGUUCCCAAAGUUGCCUCAUACAAAAAAAUCUUACAGUCAGGAACAACAUGGCUCUGAAUGGAAGAGAGAUCAAGCUGUACAGCUAGGUAACCUUCCGACCUCGGAAGCUGAAACUGCAAAAACAUUGGAUUCUCCGGGCAGUAGGAAUCGAAUGGCAUCUUGGAAGAAAUUUCCAACUCCACCUGCUAAAAGUCCCAAAGAAGCAUCUCCAAUCAAGGAGGAGAACAUUGAUAUAGGCAUUGAAGCUUCAAAACUAUUUAGUGAUGAAAAAGGACCGUCUGCUUCAGAUCUAGCUACUGUCAAGCAUCCUGAUCUUUCUUCUGCUAGGGAUUCACUUGCACACUCUUCAGUUCCUCCUUCCAAACACCAACGUAAUGUUUCCUGGGGUUACUGGUGUGAUCAACCAAGUGUUUCUGAUGAGAGUUCAAUAAUAUGUCGCAUUUGUGAGGAGGAGGUCCCUACAUUACAUGUAGAAGACCACUCCAGAAUUUGUGCAAUUGCUGAUCGCUGUGAUCAAAAAAGUCUAAGUGUUAAUGAACGCUUGUUAAGGGUUGCAGAUACUCUUGAGAAGCUCAUGGAGUCAUUUGCACAUAAGGACAUCCCGCAUGCUGUUGGAAGUCCAGAUGGUGCAAAAGUAUCAAACUGUAUUUUAACUGAGGAAUCUGAACUUCUCUCUCCAAAACUUAGUGACGGGUCUUGCAGAGGUUCAGAGGAUAUGCUUGACUGUCUUCCUGAGGUGGAUAAUUCUGUUUUCAUGGAUGAACUUAAAAGUUUACCUUCUAUGUCAUGUAGAACCCGGUUUGGACCUAAAUCCGAUCAGGGGAUGACAACAUCAUCUGCUGGCAGCAUGACACCUAGGUCCCCCUUGCUGACGCCAAAGACCAGCCCAAUCGACCUACUAUUGGCAGGAAAAGGUUGUGCCUCUGAGCAUGAUGAUCUUCCUCAGAUGAUUGAACUUGCCGAUAUUGCUCGAUGUGUGGCGACUACACCUAUAGAUGAUGAUCGCUCUUUGCCUUAUUUGCUCUCUUGCCUUGAAGAUUUAAAAGUUGUGACUGAACGCAGAAAGUUAGAUGCACUUACCGUGGAAACAUUUGGAACUCGUAUUGAAAAGCUGAUUCGGGAACAGUAUUUGCAACUGUGUGAGCUAGUUGAUGAUGACAAAGUUGAUCUAACGAGCACUGUCAUUGAUGAAGAUGCUCCCUUGGAAGACGAUGUCGUACGUAGCUUGAGAACUAGCCCAGUUCAUUCCAAAGAUCGUACGUCUAUUGAUGACUUUGAGAUUAUCAAACCAAUUAGUCGUGGGGCAUUUGGUCGGGUUUUCUUGGCAAAAAAGAGAACAACUGGAGAUCUCUUUGCAAUUAAGGUCCUGAAGAAGGCAGACAUGAUACGCAAGAAUGCUGUUGAGAGUAUCUUGGCCGAACGUGAUAUCUUAAUAUCAGUUCGCAAUCCUUUUGUGGUUCGCUUCUUCUACUCAUUUACUUGCCGUGAAAAUUUGUACCUUGUGAUGGAAUACUUGAAUGGUGGGGACCUAUAUUCAUUGUUGAGAAAUCUAGGCUGCUUAGAUGAAGAAGUCGUUCGUGUUUAUAUAGCUGAAGUUGUGCUUGCCCUGGAAUACUUGCACUCUCAGCAUGUGGUUCAUCGAGAUCUGAAGCCUGACAAUUUGUUGAUUGCACAUGAUGGUCAUAUCAAGUUGACAGACUUUGGGCUUUCUAAAGUUGGUCUUAUCAAUAGCACAGAUGAUUUAUCUGGUCCAGCUGUCAGUGGAACAUCCAUGAUGGAAGAUGAUGAAUCUCAGCUAUCUGCAUCUGAGCAUCAGGAAGAAAGGCGGAAGAAACGUUCUGCAGUAGGUACACCGGACUAUUUGGCGCCUGAGAUUCUUCUAGGAACAGGGCAUGGUUUCACGGCUGAUUGGUGGUCCGUGGGCAUUAUUCUCUUCGAGUUGAUUGUUGGUGUUCCUCCUUUUAAUGCAGAGCAUCCUCAGAAAAUAUUCGAUAAUAUUCUCAAUCGUAAGAUACCUUGGCCAAUGGUUUCUGAGGAAAUGAGCGGUGACGCACAAGAUCUGAUUGACCAAUUACUAACAGAAGAUCCUAAUAUGAGACUUGGAGCACGAGGAGCAUCAGAGGUGAAGCAGCAUCCAUUUUUUAGAGAUAUUAACUGGGACACACUUGCUAGACAGAAGGCGGCAUUUGUGCCUGCAUCCGAAGGUGCACUGGAUACUAGUUACUUCACUAGUCGCUUCUCUUGGAAUCCUUCAGAUGAACAUGUAUAUGCAGGCAGUGAAUAUGAGGGUUCUAGCGAUGAUGGUAGUGUUAGUGGUAGUAGCAGCUGUCUGGAGUAUCGCCAAGAUGAACUGGGUGAUGAAUGUGCUGGUAUUGGAGAAUUCGAGUCAGGCUCUUCUGUCAACUAUCCUUUCAAUAACUUCUCUUUUAAGAAUCUCUCCCAGCUUGCAUCAAUAAAUUAUGAUUUGCUUACAAAAGGUUGGAAAGAUGAUCAUCCGUCAAAUCCUAAUGUAUAGCUCCCCAGUUAACCGGGCCUGUGAGAGUAUCCAAACUUCUGUUUCUUGGCUGGUAGAAACAAACUGAAUGCCCGCCAAUCAUCUCCCUGUCUUUAUACCUUGUAAAUAUAUAGAAGCAGCUUAAAGAUCAUGAUCGCGACCACUGGGGAUGUGAUGUGUUUUCGAAUCUCAUGCUGUGAGGUUGUGCUUUGAAUCGUCGUUUUAUCUAGUGUGACAAUUGUGUAUUCUCUUUUUGUUCUCAUGUAUGGCCAUGAGAUGCCUUGUGGUUUUUUGACUUCAGGCUUUUGAUUUGCUUUGUAAUUGUCCCUCCACAGCAAUGAGAACACAUCUCCUGUUUUGAAAGGGAUUGAACUUGUUGCCUCAAAUUUUGGUGUUUACAACUUUACAUCACUCUUUUCCAUUCCCUUAA